rnacentral:rRNA from 1 species
GGAGGGUGCAAGCGUUGUUCGGAAUUAUUGGGCGUAAAGCGCGUGUAGGCGGUUAUCUAAGUCUGAUGUGAAAGCCCGGGGCUUAACCCCGGAAGUGCAUAGGAUACUGGAUAACUAGAGGACGAGAGAGGGAAGUGGAAUUCCUGGUGUAGGGGUGAAAUCCGUAGAUAUCAGGAGGAACAUCGGAGGCGAAGGCGGCUUCCUGGCUCGUAACUGACGCUGAGACGCGAAAGCGUGGGUAGCAAACAGGAUUAGAUACCCUGGUAGUCCACGCCCUAAACGAUGGAUACUAGUUAUCGGGAUACCCUAAUAGUCUCGGUGGCGUAGCUAACGCAUUAAGUAUCCCGCCUGGGGAUUACGGUCGCAAGAUUA